UACGUAGGGGGCUAGCGUUGUCCGGAAUCAUUGGGCGUAAAGCGCGUGUAGGCGGUUCGGUAAGUCCGCUGUGAAAGUCGGGGGCUCAACCCUCGGAUGCCCGGUGGAUACUGUCGGACUAGAGUACGGAAGAGGCGAGUGGAAUCCUGGUGUAGCGGUGAAAUGCGCAGAUAUCAGGAGGAACACCGAUUGCGAAGGCAGCUCGCGGGACGUUGACUGACGCUGAGACGCGAAAGCGUGGGGAGCAAACAGGAUUGAGAAACCCU
rnacentral:rRNA from 1 species